AACGAAGCAUGCCGGAGGAAGUUUUCGGAUGGAAUCCGGGAUGACUGAGUGGCGGACGGGUGAGUAACGCGUGGGUAACCUGCCCUGUACAGGGGGACAACAGUUAGAAAUGACUGCUAAUACCGCAUAAGCGCACAGGACCGCAUGGUCCGGUGUGAAAAACUCCGGUGGUACAGGAUGGACCCGCGUCUGAUUAGGUAGUUGGCGGGGUAACGGCCCACCAAGCCGACGAUCAGUAGCCGACCUGAGAGGGUGACCGGCCACAUUGGGACUGAGACACGGCCCAAACUCCUACGGGAGGCAGCAGUGGGGAAUAUUGCACAAUGGGGGGAACCCUGAUGCCCCCACGCCCCGUGAGUGAAGAAGUAUUUCGGUAUGUAAAGCUCUAUCAGCACGGAACAAAAUAAAAAAACAUGACUUUGAAGCCCCGGCUAAGGACGUGCAAACAGCCGCGGUAAUACGUAGGGGGCAAGCGUUAUCCGGAUUUACUGGGUGUAAAGGGAGCGUAGACGUACAAGCAAGUCUGAAGUGAAAGCCCGCGGCCCAACUGCGGGACUGCUUUGGAAACCGCCCGGCUAGAGUGCUGGAGAGGUAAGCGGAAUUCCUAGUGUAGCGGUGAAAUGCG
rnacentral:rRNA from 1 species